rnacentral:rRNA from 1 species
AUUGAACGCUGGCGGCAUGCCUUACACAUGCAAGUCGAACGGCAGCACGGGUGCUUGCACCUGGUGGCGAGUGGCGAACGGGUGAGUAAUACAUCGGAACAUGUCCUGUAGUGGGGGAUAGCCCGGCGAAAGCCGGAUUAAUACCGCAUACGAUCUACGGAUGAAAGCGGGGGACCUUCGGGCCUCGCGCUAUAGGGUUGGCCGGUGGCUGAUUAGCUAGUUGGUGGGGUAAAGGCCUACCAAGGCGACGAUCAGUAGCUGGGCUGAGAGGACGACCAGCCACACUGGGACUGAGACACGGCCCAGACUCCUACGGGAGGCAGCAGUAGGGAAUUUUGGACAAUGGGCGAAAGCCUGAUCCAGCAAUGCCGCGUGUGUGAAGAAGGCCUUCGGGUUGUAAAGCACUUUUGUCCGGAAAGAAAUCCUUGGCCCUAAUACGGUCAGGGGAUGACGGUACCGGAAGAAUAAGCACCGGCUAACUACGUG